CUUAGUACGGCGAGUGAAGCGGUAAAAGCUCAAAUUUGAAAUCUGGUACUUUCAGUGCCCGAGUUGUAAUUUGUAGAAUUUGUCUUUGAUUAGGUCCUUGUCUAUGUUCCUUGGAACAGGACGUCAUAGAGGGUGAGAAUCCCGUUUGGCGAGGAUACCUUUUCUCUGUAAGACUUUUUCGAAGAGUCGAGUUGUUUGGGAAUGCAGCUCAAAGUGGGUGGUAAAUUCCAUCUAAAGCUAAAUAUUGGCGAGAGACCGAUAGCGAACAAGUACAGUGAUGGAAAGAUGAAAAGAACUUUGAAAAGAGAGUGAAAAAGUACGUGAAAUUGUUGAAAGGGAAGGGCAUUUGAUCAGACAUGGUGUUUUUUGCAUGCACUCGCCUCUCGUGGGCUUGGGCCUCUCAAAAAUUUCACUGGGCCAACAUCAAUUCUGGCAGUAGGAUAAAUCAUUAAGAAUGUAGCUACCUCGGUAGUGUUAUAGCUUAUUGGAAUACUGCUAGCUGGGAUUGAGGACUGCGCUUCGGCAAGGAUGUUGGCAUAAUGGUUAAAUGCCGCCCGUC
rnacentral:rRNA from 1 species